rnacentral:rRNA from 1 species
UACGAAGGGGGCUAGCGUUGCUCGGAAUCACUGGGCGUAAAGCGCACGUAGGCUGACUCUUAAGUCAGGGGUGAAAUCCUGGAGCUCAACUCCAGAACUGCCUUUGAUACUGGGAGUCUUGAGUUCGGGAGAGGUGAGUGGAACUGCGAGUGUAGAGGUGAAAUUCGUAGAUAUUCGCAAGAACACCAGUGGCGAAGGCGGCUCACUGGCCCGAUACUGACGCUGAGGUGCGAAAGCGUGGGGAGCAAACAGG